rnacentral:rRNA from 1 species
AUUGAACGCUGGCGGCAGGCCUAACACAUGCAAGUCGAACGAGUGGCGGACGGGUGAGUAAUGUCUGGGAAACUGCCCGAUGGAGGGGGAUAACUACUGGAAACGGUAGCUAAUACCGCAUACCAUCGGAUGUGCCCAGAUGGGGUUGGCUUGUAGGUGGGGUAACGGCUCACCUAGGCGACGAUCCCUAGCUGGUCUGAGAGGAUGACCAGCCAAAGUGGAACUGAGACACGGUCAAGACUCCUACUGGAGGGAGCAGGGGGGAAUAUGGGAAAAUGGGCGGAAGUCUGAUGCAGACAUGCCGGGGGUAUGAAGAAGGCCGUCGGGUUGUAAAGUACGUUCAGCGGGGAGGCGUUACCCGCAGAAGAAGCACCGGCUAACUCCGUGCCAGCAGCCGCGGUAAUUC